GUGAGUGAUGGUGUGCAGGAAGUAGAUAUGGCGUUGCCUGCUGGACACAGCCUGGGAGCCCAGCUCCUAGAAGCCUCAGUGAGAUACCACCCAUUCCCUGGGGCUGGCAGUUGACUCCUCUUCCUGGUCUCUAUCCAUUUCUGCUGUGUGGUCCCUUCUGGAGGAAAUGACUGCAGACGGCCUCAGUGAUGAAUGAAGAGGGCACAAGAGAAAGAAGAGAAUCCUGAGAACAAAAACACUUGUGUGUAUUUCAACAGCAUCCUCCUGUCCUCAUCAACGUUGACAUCCUCACCAUCACCACAACCACCAUCAACCAAGUACACUUAGUGACAUCUUACUGUGAAAUGGCUAGCCAGUAUGAUAAAUACAUUAUAUCAUGCUAUUGGAAAUUCCCUAUA